CAUGGUUUUUCAUGUUAGUAAGGUCAUUGAGGGAGUAGUAUCUUAGUCAAAAUAGGUGAUUGUAUUAGAGGAUGUGAUGAGUGUAGGUUGUUCCUUCUCUCUGGUAAGUUUAAUUUUCGGGGACGAAAAUUUUAUUUGUUGGGGAGAAUGUAAAAGCCAAAACUAAAAAGGGGCUAUUGGACCUAAGUUGGGGGACAACCAGGCCCAUAAGGUUGAGGAUACCCUGACCUUGGUAAGGGCUUUCCAAAAAAAUCUGAUUUCAUAAGCCAAAUUUCCUCUCUCUCUCAAACCCUAUUCCCCAAAUAUUGCUCUGUCUUCUCUCUAAAUUUCUCAUUCACUGAACCGAUCAAAUUUUAAUUUGAAAGUGUUUCCUUUCUCACUGCACCGAGGGCUUCAAUUUGAACCGGGCGUUCUUCCAUUCCGACCGGUACUGUUGUUUUUCUGUUCGGGUGAGAAUUUCUAUUAGGACGUCUUCAAAUUAGCUUACCGUGAAAACCCAAGGUAAGGGGAGCUAG